CUGGAAAAAAAAAAAAAAAAAAAAAAAAAAAAAAAAAAACCGCAUUUCCUUUUUGACUUAAGAGGGAGAGAGAGAGAGAAGCGGAGGCUGGGGGCUGGUGAACUCAUCGAGAUAUCCUUCGUUAUGAUUGUGAACUUGGCAGCGAUUGUUUAGCGUAAAUAAUCACGGUCGCCAAUAACCAGUAACACCUGCCGGCCCAUUACCCGGAACAGGAGGAGAAGACGGGCAUCUCCAGCGAAAUUCCACCGCGGCAAUAUGGAAGUAUUUAAAGGAAGACCUGCACCGCUCAGGGUAGCAGAGAUCUGAACUUUUAAAUUACAGCCAUUCCCAGCCUGACGAUAAGUAAAUAAACAAUUCACAGCUGCAUGGGCUAAACACAGAAACACAUCUAUCUCUUCCAGGCGUGAUUGCUGAACAAGUAAUUAAGUGCGAAAUGUGAGCCCUCAAUGUCAGUGUGAGAUGAUAAAGGUCUCCAGUUGUAAAUUAACUGAACUCCAGUGAGCCCUCGAUAUUAACCCUUCAGGAGCCCUUGGGUGGCAAUGGGUGCGUUAGCAUGACUCCGGUGCAAUUUGCGUGCAAUUAUUCCUGACAUUUGCCCCUGGGAAUAUGGAGCUGUUAUUCUAACAAAUUAAAAAAACAAGUGAGGGAGUUGCUUUCUCUCUUCUCUCUGAGCUAGCACAGGGCACCCCGUAAGACAGGAGAUGUAGUCCCAGUUCAUGUCUCUGCCACGCUCGUCCAUCACAUUCCCCUGUGGCAGCCUUCCUCCUGGCGAUAGCAGAGGUGUCACAAAACCAAAAUACAUUAAAGCCUGUGAGCUGCUCAAGCACCGAGAUAAAGAGGACUGCUAACUCAGAUGGGCAGAUAUCCAUCACUGCCUCAAAAUGAGUACACCACGAUUCACCUUGAGAAUAAGGAUCCAAUGAAUGACCAUAAAUUGAAAUAUCACCAGUUGUUAAACAAUCCACUCCUGGCUGAAGCCAAAGCUACACAGUCCAUCUGAAAUCCCACCUGCAAUUCUGCAACCGCUUGUUGUGUAAAUAAAAGAUUCACUCCUAAUGGAGAAGAGCAGAGCCGAUGAGGCCACGCUCUCCUGGCUCCAGAGCUACUAAAGUAAAAGAAAAAAAACGGGGGAGAAACGCAACCUUACAGACAGACGUGAAGAACAGAAGCAUGUCAGUGACCACUUGAAGAUAUCAGGCUCCUCCACUUGAUGCAAGACACAUCAAGACUCGGGCAAAAGGGGGAAAAAAAGACAAACCCACUGUAUUUGGAGUCAGGAGCAACCGCUACUGGUAGAUGUCCUAGUCCUCCUCCCCUUCCAGGUUCUGGAGAACAUCAGCCAAGCUGACCUCAGCAAACGGAGAGGAAUAAAUGAGAACAAACAUCCCCUAAAGAGGCAUUGGAAUAUUUAGCAAUCAAAGGAGCGAGGCCACCUGCACAGUUUGAAAACAGAAUUUCCUACGCAGAACUAAAUCAUCUUAGAAGCUAGCAGAGAAGCUGCUGCUACAGUAACUAACAUUUCUUCAUUUAUUAAUAAAAUUUUUAAAAUUGAAACAAUGUUACAUUUGCCAGAAAACAUGUUACUGGAAACUUAAGUCUUCUCUCUUCUUCCUGAAUUAUACUAGUGUUGAUUGUAUACUUAUCCCCCAAUAUAACUUUUUUAAAAUAUAGAAAACUAUAGAAAUAAUUUUAAA